UACGGAGGGCGCUAGCGUUGUUCGGAAUUACUGGGCGUAAAGCGCACGUAGGCGGCUUUGUAAGUUAGAGGUGAAAGCCCGGAGCUCAACUCCGGAAUUGCCUUUAAGACUGCAUCGCUUGAAUCCAGGAGAGGUGAGUGGAAUUCCGAGUGUAGAGGUGAAAUUCGUAGAUAUUCGGAAGAACACCAGUGGCGAAGGCGGCUCACUGGACUGGUAUUGACGCUGAGGUGCGAAAGCGUGGGGAGCAAACAGG
rnacentral:rRNA from 1 species